rnacentral:rRNA from 1 species
UACGUAGGUGGCAAGCGUUUGUCCGGAAUUACUGGGUGUAAAGCGCGUGUAGGCGGCAGACCAAGUCGGCGGUGAAAGCGCCCGGCUCAACUGGGCGAGGUCCGUGGAGACUGGUCAGCUGGAGGACGGUAGAGGCGAGUGGAAUUCCCGGUGUAGUGGUGAAAUGCGUAGAGAUCGGGAGGAACACCUGUGGCGAAGGCGGCUCGCUGGGCCGGUCCUGA